rnacentral:siRNA from 1 species
GUGUCGGCUGCUUUGUUGAGCC